rnacentral:tmRNA from 1 species
GGGGGUGAUCGGUUUCGACGUUGCUCGGUAUUUCAGGAGAAGCGGGUCGAGGAUGCAAGGUCAGCUCGUCAACGCUCCUUGCAAAACCAAUAGCUGCCAAUUCUACGCGCAGCGACUUCGCCCUCGCCGCCUGACGGCGACGCGAAGUCUGUCAGCCUGAGGUAGUUUCCGACUCAGUGCCUGGCAUCAGUUAGGAAACUUGCUGCACGGUCAUGUCGGGGGAUCGUGCGGGACUCCAACUCGACUGGGCCUGUCAGGGAACGUGUGCGCGCGAGCCCUGGGGCCGAGAAAAUCCAUAGCGCACUGCACCCGGAGAAGUCCUGUUCUUCUGGCAACGGACGCGGGUUCGAUUCCCGCCACCUCCACUU